rnacentral:lncRNA from 1 species
ACCAAGUCACAAAAGGCUGUCACGUGGUUAUUAUUUAAGUGAACACUUAUCCUUGCUGGUUGUCACUACCCAAAAAUGAGGGUCAUGAUGGCACUUGUCGCGGGGUACCUUGACAAGUAGGCCUAUCACCCAAACUGAUACAAAAAGAGAAAAAGACAGAAAUAACCCAAGGUAAGGCUUCUAGAAUAAAGUCGAACCAUAAUACUAAUCAUAACAAUGCGGAAAGAACUUAU